UCUGUGAGCCCGUUUGUCUUUUAGAUUUGAGAGGAAUGGAUUGAGCUAUUUAUGCACACUCAGAGCCCAAAUUUGGAUAACCUUAGGAUCAGGUUCCUAAUCAAGAUUCCUAAUCCUUUCUCUUCCUGUCAGUAGGCCGAUAAUCCUUCUCCCUUUACUCUUUGUUACUCACUCCUUCGAUAAUGUUUAUCCCUCUCUUCCAUCACUGUUUCUUACUCUUUCGAUAACCCUUCUCCAAUCCUACUCCGUCUUUCCCAUCCCUUUUUCCCUCUUUCCCUACUCUUCUCCGAAUCCGUUCUCUCAUUCCCUUAUCCGAAUCCGUCAUACGUACGUCCCGAAUGGGUCUUGGAUUCCCUCCUUCAAACUUUCCUUGGUUUCGUUGAAUGUUCGAUUUUUGGAACCUUGUUUCUUUCUUUAAUUCCACGGGCACGAGACUCUUUUCUGUUCAUUUCUGCUCCCGCUUUUCCUUCCUCUCUCACUUGUCAAUUCUUACUUUGAGUUUUCAUUUUUAGGCGGAUUUCGCUGAAGAAUUUGAACCCUUGUUCGAUUACAGCCGCGUUAAGCCUCCCUCCGUUGUUUAUCUCGAUGAUAGAAGUUCUCCGUGAUAUUUGAGUUUGAAGAAAGUUAAAACUUUCUAUUUCAGUGUUUGAUGUGAUUACAAUUCUCUUUUAGCAAAAAAUUUCGAAAUUGGGUUUCCUUGUGCUUGCAGUCUUUCAAACUGAUGGUUAUUCUGUGAUUCUUUUUCCUUUUAUUUGGAGUAACAACAUUAGACGAGGAUUCAGACGCAGACAAAUCUCCGGCGCCUUUUGCAAAGCGAGCAAAGAUUGUGAAUCUGGCGGCUACGAGUUCGGUGAAUGGUAACCCAAAAGAAAAACAAGUGGAAAUUGAACAUAAAGAGGAAGAACGGCUUUCUCCUCCACCGAAAGUGUUAGUUGAUGCAAAGAAUAGGCGUGGGAAAGAUUCCACAUUGAAGAAGUUAAGGUUAAAGAAGCAAGAGUCGGCCUUUGUUGCUUUAUCAACUAAAAACUUCCCGCGAGAAGCAAAGGAAUCUGCAAAAGUGGAUGUAGGAAACACGUCCAAGGACUCUCUGAAACCUGAUUUGGACGUCCAAACUUCUCUUUAUUCUAAAGAAAGAGCAAAAGUUGUAAGAAUUGUUGUUUCUGUACGCAACAGUGACAAGGAAGAGCUCAGAAAGUGUCGCAUGCUUGUGGAUUACAAGUUUGAGCAACUUUUUCAAAUGUACGCAAUCAAACUUAAAGUCGAUCUCAAGAGUCUGGUCUUUGUUUUUGACGGGGAUAAAAUUGGCCCAGAUGAUACCCCAGGUGGCCUUGGCAUGGAAGACGAUGAUAUGAUUGAAGUUCAUAUCAAGUCGAGUUGAGUAAGGUGUCUUUUGAGUGUAUACUUUGUGAAGUACUUCACCAGUUUUGAGGAUGAGAGACUUGGAAAAGGCCAAAUUCAACAUUUUGUAGUUUGCACCUUAAAAGAUGAACAAAUCGCUUAUGAAAGGGUAUGAAAGGGUUCCUUUUGUGGGAUAAAAUUGUUUGGUAAGCACAAGUAGCUACAUUGCAUAAGUAGACAAAUUAAGAAGCAUGACCUGACCUAA